AUGAGCGCCCCCCAGCUGUACUGUGUGAUCCUCUGGAUGCUACAGCCAGGUCUGGGCCAGGCUGGUGUCACUCAGACCCCCACAUUCCAGCUCCUGAAGGAAGGACAGAGUGUGACACUGAUGUGUGCCCAGGAUAUGGAUCAUGACUACAUGUGCUGGUACCGACAAGAUGAGGGACAAGGGCUGAAGCUGGUCUAUUACUCAGUCACAACUAAGAGCGUGGAGAAAGGAGAAGUGGCUGAUGGGUACAGCGUCUCUAGAGAGGAGAAGAAGAGCUUCCCCCUCACGCUGGAGUCGGCUGUGCCCUCCCAGACAUCUGUGUACUGUAUUGCUCCUUUGGACACCUUUGGACCUGUCACUGGUUCUCACAGUCUGAAAUCAACCUUCAGGAAUAAACUGUGA